UACUAGAGUAGCACUCGCAUAUCAAUAAGCGGAGGAAAAGAAACUAACAAGGAUUCCCCUAGUAACGGCGAGUGAAGCGGGAAGAGCUCAAAUUUGAAAUCUUAAAGGGUUUCCCUUUACGAAUUGUAGUUUAAAGAAGUGUUUUCUGUUGAGGUUUUGGUAAAAGUUCUUUGGAAUAGGACAUCAUAGAGGGUGAGAAUCCCGUAUUUGACCUUUACUUUCAACUUUGUGAUACACUUUCAAAGAGUCGGAUUGUUUGGGAAUGCAGUCCAAAAUGGGUGGUAAAUUUCAUCUAAAGCUAAAUAUUGGCGAGAGACCGAUAGCGAACAAGUACCGUGAGGGAAAGAUGAAAAGAACUUUGAAAAGAGAGUUAAACAGUACGUGAAAUUGUCAAAAGGGAAGCGUUUGACACCAGUGUUGUUUUUCUGAAAAUCAAUUAAAGAACUGUUUAUGCUAAGCUGUUUAGACUUUAUCAGCUAUCUGUUUAGUUUUGAGCUUUUCUUUAAUGCACUUUUCAGUUAACAAGUCAACAUCAAUUUCUUUUGCUGUAAAAAAGCUUGAGGAAGGUGGCUUGAGAUUCGUCUUAAGUGUUUAUAGCCUCUUGCCUAUGCAGUCGGAGAGAUUGAGGUCUGCAGCGUAGAUCCUUCGGGGCUAAAUGCAUUUGUGCUAAGUUAUAGCAUUUUACAGACAACUUGUUGACUAUGAUUUGUCUUGUAGCUUACUCGCUUAUGUUAUUUUACCUACGCUUAGGAUGUUGAACUACUGAGACAUAG
rnacentral:rRNA from 1 species